GUUGUAUAGUCAAGUAAUUAAGUGCAUGUGGUGGAUGCCUUGGCAGUCAGAGGCGAUGAAAGACGUGAUAGCCUGCGAAAAGCUCCGGGGAGGCGGCAAAUAUCCUUUGAUCCGGAGAUGUCUGAAUGGGGGAACCCACCUACUUUAAGGUAGGUAUUGCAACAUGAAUACAUAGUGUUGCAAGGCGAACGAGGGGAAGUGAAACAUCUCAGUACCCUUAGGAAAAGAAAUCAAUUGAGAUUCCCUCAGUAGCGGCGAGCGAACGGGGAUCAGCCCAUUAAGUUAUGUGUGUUUUAGUGGAACGCUCUGGGAAGUGCGAACGUAGAGGGUGAUAUUCCCGUACACGAAAGGGCACACAUAAUGAUGACGAGUAGGGCGAGGCACGUGAAACCUUGUCUGAAUAUGGGGGGACCAUCCUCCAAGGCUAAAUACUCCUGACUGACCGAUAGUGAACCAGUACCGUGAGGGAAAGGCGAAAAGAACCCCUGUGAGGGGAGUGAAAUAGAUCCUGAAACCGCAUGCAUACAAGCAGUGGGAGCACCUUCGUGGUGUGACUGCGUACCUUUUGUAUAAUGGGUCAGCGACUUAUAUUCAGUAGCGAGGUUAACCGUAUAGGGGAGCCGUAGAGAAAUCGAGUCUUAAUAGGGCGUUUAGUUGCUGGGUAUAGACCCGAAACCAGGCGAUCUAUCCAUGAGCAGGUUGAAGGUUGGGUAACACUAACUGGAGGACCGAACCCACUGUCGUUGAAAAGCCAGGGGAUGACUUGUGGAUAGGGGUGAAAGGCUAAUCAAGCCUGGUGAUAGCUGGUUCUCCCCGAAAGCUAUUUAGGUAGCGCCUCGGACGAAUACCAUAGGGGGUAGAGCACUGUUUCGGCUAGGGGGUCAUCCCGACUUACCAAACCGAUGCAAACUCCGAAUACCUAUGAGUACUAUCCGGGAGACAGACUGCGGGUGCUAACGUCCGUAGUCAAGAGGAAAACAAUCCAGACCGCCAGCUAAGGCCCCAAAAUCAUAGUUAAGUGGGAAACGAUGUGGGAAGGCAUAGACAGCUAGGAGGUUGGCUUAGAAGCAGCCACCCUUUAAAGAAAGCGUAAUAGCUCACUAGUCGAGUCGGCCUGCGCGGAAGAUGUAACGGGGCUAAAACUAUGUGCCGAAGCUGCGGAUGUAUACUUUGUAUACGUGGUAGGGGAGCGUUCUGUAAGCCGAUGAAGGUGUGUUGAGAAGCAUGCUGGAGGUAUCAGAAGUGCGAAUGCUGACGUGAGUAACGACAAACGGGUGAAAAACCCGUUCGCCGAAAGACCAAGGGUUCCAGUCCAACGUUAAUCGGGGCUGGGUGAGUCGACCCCUAAGGCGAGGCCGAAAGGCGUAGUCGAUGGGAAAAUGGUUAAUAUUCCAUUACUUCUGUGUAAUGCGAUGAGAGGACGGAGAAGGCUAAAUCAGCCUGGCGUUGGUUGUCCAGGUGAAAGGAUGUAGGCAUGUAUCUUAGGCAAAUCCGGGGUACUCUAUGCUGAGAUCUGAUAGCAAGCUGUACUUGUACAGCGAAGUGGUUGAUGCCAUGCUUCCAGGAAAAGUCUCUAAGCUUCAGUUACACAGGAAUCGUACCCGAAACCGACACAGGUGGUCAGGUCGAGUAGACCAAGGCGCUUGAGAGAACUCUGCUGAAGGAACUAGGCAAAAUGGUACCGUAACUUCGGGAGAAGGUACGCUGUUGUUGGUGAUGGAACUCGCUUCCUGAGCUGACGACAGCCGCAGAAACCAGGCCGCUGCAACUGUUUAUUAAAAACAUAGCACUCUGCAAACACGAAAGUGGACGUAUAGGGUGUGAUGCCUGCCCGGUGCUGGAAGGUUAAUUGAUGGGGUUAGCGUAAGCGAAGCUCUUGAUCGAAGCCCCAGUAAACGGCGGCCGUAACUAUAACGGUCCUAAGGUAGCGAAAUUCCUUGUCGGGUAAGUUCCGACCUGCACGAAUGGCAUAAUGAUGGCGGCGCUGUCUCCAGCAGAGGCUCAGUGAAAUCGAAAUCGCUGUGAAGAUGCAGUGUACCCGCGGCUAGACGGAAAGACCCCGUGAACCUUUACUGCAGCUUGACACUGAACUUUGACCUUACUUGUGUAGGAUAGGUGGGAGGCUUUGAAGCUGGAACGAAAGUUCCAGUGGAGCCGUCCUUGAAAUACCACCCUGGUAAUGUUGAGGUUCUAACUCUGUCCCGUGAUCCGGGACGAGGACCGUGUCUGGUGGGUAGUUUGACUGGGGCGGUCUCCUCCUAAAGAGUAACGGAGGAGUACGAAGGUGCGCUCAGCGUGGUCGGAAAUCACGCGUAGAGUAUAAAGGCAAAAGCGCGCUUAACUGCGAGACCCACAAGUCGAGCAGGUACGAAAGUAGGUCUUAGUGAUCCGGUGGUUCUGUAUGGAAGGGCCAUCGCUCAACGGAUAAAAGGUACUCUGGGGAUAACAGGCUGAUACCGCCCAAGAGUUCAUAUCGACGGCGGUGUUUGGCACCUCGAUGUCGGCUCAUCUCAUCCUGGGGCUGAAGCAGGUCCCAAGGGUAUGGCUGUUCGCCAUUUAAAGAGGUACGCGAGCUGGGUUUAGAACGUCGUGAGACAGUUCGGUCCCUAUCUACCGUGGGCGCUGGAAAUUUGAGAGGAUCUGCUCCUAGUACGAGAGGACCAGAGUGGACGAACCUCUGGUGUACCGGUUGUGACGCCAGUCGCAUCGCCGGGUAGCUAUGUUCGGAAGGGAUAACCGCUGAAAGCAUCUAAGCGGGAAGCCUACCUCAAGAUAAGAUUUCCCUAGGACUUUAUGUCCUCUAAAGAGCCGUUCGAGACUAGGACGUUGAUAGGUUGGAUGUGGAAGCAUAGUGAUAUGUGAAGCUGACCAAUACUAAUUGCUCGUGAGGCUUGACUAUACAACACCCAAGCAGUUG
rnacentral:rRNA from 1 species